rnacentral:rRNA from 1 species
CCCUUAGAUGUUCUGGGCUGCACGCGCGCUACACUGAAGCUAUCAACACGUUUUCCCUCCCUGAGAAGGGCGGGUAACCUUUUGAAUCAGCUUCGUGGUAGGGAUCGGGGCUUGCAAUUGUUCCCCGUGAACCAGGAAUUCCUAGUAGACGCGAGUCAUAAGCUCGCAUCGAUUAAGUCCCUGCCCUUUGUACACACCGCCCGUCGCUACUACCGACUGAACGUUUUAGUGAGGCAUUUGGACCGACGCAUCUCAGUUUAACCGCUGGUUUGUGUUGGAAAGACUUCCAAACUUGAGCGUUUAGAGGAAGUAAAAGUCGUAACA